AUCUGAAAAUACAAGAGCACAGAUUGCAGUUGGUGCUUUAGGACUUCAUAAUCAAUUUUGCCGUGUAAAGUAAUCGCAUUAGUUCAUAGAUAACAUCCAGAGAGUUUCUGAAUUUGAGGGAGGAAAAUUCUUAUUAAAAAAACAAAAAAUAAAAAACACCAGAUACCUUGCUAAGGUAUCUUUUAAAAUUUGUCUAAUAUUGAUUAGUAACAGUUGAAAUUCAUCGUUAGUGUUAGAAGAGUAUAGGCAAGAGUAUUUGUUCUAAAUUGUGUAGCAUAACCACUGGAUAUUCCAACCUGAAAGCUGUAAAGGGAGGUACAGACUUGAGAUUUCGGUUAGACUUGGCUUUGAAACUACACCUGCCCUGAGCAGCUAAUUAACCUUCAUAGUUCUCCAUUUCCUCACCUCAAAUUAUCUCAGGGGCUUUUUGUGAAAAGGAGGCAAUUCAUCUAACACUAUCUCAGUCCUGGCAUUUGGUAAACAUUUGAUAACUGUUGCUAUGGUGCUUUAUAAAUUGCUAAUUCUUGCCCUGUAUUAAGUGGCUUGCUUGAACCAUUACCUUUAUGCUAUAUUACUAGUUACUGUUUAACUCCUUGGUUAUUAGUUAAGAUAGCAUUUUAUUCAACUUGUUUAGAGGUUAUGGAAGUUAUAGACAGCACAGAUCUGUGAAUUCAAAUGUUGGUUUGCUAGUUCACAUGUUGUUUUGCACUAACAAGAUAGUAUGCUGAGAACCACUUCAUGUAUCUUAUCUGUCUACUGAUUGCCAUGUAAGAGGGGAACUAAGAAGCAACUGAGUUAGGAUGCUCCUAACAUGUCCAAGGGCAAGGAGCUUGACAAUAAAGAGCUUUCUGAUAAAAAAAAAAUUUCAGUGCUAGAAAUGACGAAACCCUAUUAGUAGGAACAUAGUGAAUCUCUCUUAAAUGACUCUAACGCUAUUUUUCUUCAUUUAAAAUUAUCCAUCAUAACAGGAAGACAUUUCCAUGCAGAAUAUAUGGCCUUUCCCAUGCACUUGGACCUCUGUAGUGAUAGUACAGUUUUAAACUUGUGAGUCUUUUAAUUAUACUGGGAAUGGGCUAACUAUAGAGUUGUAAUUGCAACUCUGCGGUAUGGUGCAGAAGCUAAAAUAGAAUGGAAUUACUGAAAAGUAAAAGGACUAACAACUUGAAAAUGAAAAUAUGUGCUUUCUAAUCAAGCCUGCAGAGUUCAUACUAUGACAAUAAGCCUAUUUAAGCCUGCCCGUCCAUCCAUCCAUCUUUUGUUCAAAUGGGGACUCCCUGUGCAGCUUAGGCUGGCCUCUAACUUGUAGUUCUGCUGAGGCUGGCCUUGAACAUGUGGUCCUUUGUGCCUCACUUAGGAUUAUAGUACUUUACCAUGCCUGGCUUAAUCAAUCUUCUCUAUUUGUUAGUCAAUCUGUUGUCUUUUAUCCUUGUUCCCUUUUAUCCUUGUUCCAGAACACUUGUAAAAUUAAGAAUCUAAGAAAAAAUUUUUAAAGGAAACGAAUUUAGGGCAGUCUGGAGAAGAAAGACUUCUUUAUGAGAUCCUAGUCAGUUCUUUUUGUAAUUAUAUUACACAAGAAAGGAAAAAAACAUGUUUAAAAUAAUCACAUAAGGUAAGCAUUCUUAAGCUUUUUGGGUGAUAGGAUCUCGUUUUAGUUUGUCCUUUUGAGAACUUGACAAAAGGCUGACAUGUAAAAUUCAGAAGCUACUGGGCAGGAUGCUGGGGUGUGGUUGCUGGUGACCUCAUCUGUGGUCUUGGCAAGCGACUUCAUGCCUCUCCCUGCUUGAGACACCUGGAAGCCUGAGAAACAUGGCAGCUUCUUCCUGGUGGGUAGAGAGUUUUGCAGUUCACCGGAAGGGUCGGGGUAAACUGCCUGGGUGGUAGAACAGCUUCACAAACCUGAGCACUCUCUGCCCGCACCUUGGCUUUCUUUUCUUGUUUGAUAGUGAGAACAAGGCAUUGUGGCUCAGUCUCUUCCACAACUCUCAAGGAUUUCUUCUCAGCUUUUCAAAUAAGAGCACAUGCUGUCACUUUUUCCCGAGAAGGGGCUAGGUUUUCUUAGUAUGUAAGGAAGGGAAGAUUUUUUUUUUUAAAGUAUAAUAAAAGACCCAUAAAGUGGAGUAACUGAAUCCUGUCCAUAUAGUAACCAACUUAUUGUGCUCAGUGUUUUUGGCAGCAAGCGUGGUGCACUUUUUUUCACCAUGAUGCAAGUGUCAGUCACCUUUUUCUUAGUGUUAUAAUCUCGUUGAUUUCCCUCCUUAACCUCUACCACAGACACACAGACCUGAUGAGGCCAGGAAGUUUGCUCUGAUCUGAAGUACAUUUAUAUCUAGUGAUACUAUCCUCCCUGCUGACUUAAUUUUUAAUCUUUACACCUAAUUUUUACAUGAUGCAGGUUCAAACCAGAUUGCAGACCACAUCCUGGGAUUGAUCCAGCCAUAUGGUAUCUAUCAGUGAAACUCUCUGAAUUGGAAAAAGGAAAGAUGUCACUUGUCAUUGUUUGGAAAUCUAUAAUAUAUAUGUAUACAUAUAUACACACAACAGGUACAGAAGAUACAUUUUAAUCUCUGCCAUUCAAUCUAAAAGUCCCCAUUAAUAAAUUAGGCCAUGAAAUCAUUCUUUGGGAAGAGAGUCUAAUUUUUAAGUGAUAGCGGUUUAGGAAUGUGUCCUAAGGUGUCCCCAGUAUUCCCAGGUGAGCUCAGAUAAGUACUGCUUUCCAUCCAGAGGCUGUUUCUUAAACUGCUAUUGUUCCUGUGCUCUCUUGGGACUCUCUGUAGCUGUUCUAGAGGAGCUUUAAGCCUAGGAAAAUUCCUUUGGUAAGAUUUUGAAAGGGUUGUUGGAAAGGGAGAGCUCACUGGACACAAGCUUCUUAGGCAGAUGAGAUUUGGAGAGUAUAUAGGAAUUGUGAGUAUAAGCAUUGAUUUCCUUUAAGCUCCCUGUGGUCGCAGCUCUGCAAAGUUUGUGUACCUUGGGUGCACAUGUACCUGUGCUUGAAGACUACGGUCUUGGAGGGCUCAUGUUCAUACUCCAUACUGACAUUACAGGAUCACAGGAACAUUGUGUCCAAUAAAAAUGGCUUGUAGAAGCUGAUUUUAUGGACACAAAUGUGAGGUAAAUAAAGACUUAAAGCAAUGUCUUAUAGUUUCUUUUAUGGUUCAAAGUUGUCUUUAACUUACUGUGGUGUAUCACUAUUAUUAUGUGCAAUGCCAGUUACUUGCUUUUUCAAAAAUAUCACACCUGUCAACUUGAGCAGUUUUUUUUUUUUUGUACCAACCAUAAUGCUGGCUUUUCAAUAUGAACGAUACAUUCAGAGGGUCAAUAUGCAUCAGUCUGUAUUUUAUCUCCUCAGCGUGACAUGGUUCAUCAUAUGAAGCAUUUAAUGUACACACAAAACAUAUAGGGCUACAUGCUAACGGGGCAGCCAGGCAUACCCGCAGAAUUUUACAGUUCUCGCCAUGUUUGGUUUUAUAUUAUUUAUGUACAUCAUGACCAACCCCACUAAAAUAUUGACUUCUUGAGAAUACAACAUGCAUGUAAGGGGUUCAUUUAUGUUUUUCACACUGGUUCCUGAGAAGUCCUAAUGAAGGAAGCAAGUGAGUGAGUGUUUGAAUGAAUGACUAGAACAGUGAACAAAUAUGCCAUCCUUUGGGGAAUACGUUAGCAUUGCCCUAUGCAGGUGAUUUCCAGUGUUUAACAUGAUGGGUUUUAGGUGUUCAAGUAGUAUAACUGGUUUCCUCCUCAGUGUUUUCUAAAUACGCCAUUGUCUCGAUUUCAUAAUUCCGGAGCCUCUAAAAACAAGAGUGCUAGAACCACCCCCUCCUUUCUUCUUCAUGUCCUUGCACCCAGCUCUGUCUGGUCACUUGGUUAGGAGAGUUUAAAUGGUCACAUGCUAGCCCAUCACGUUCCUUUGAUCAUUUCGCCUCUGCAAAAGUGGAGUAGAGGCUGCUUUGUCACCUUUUGUUGCUGAGCUGAUGCAGUGAUCGGAACACAGAAUGCCGCACGCGCCACCCGCUUUACUCACUUUCGUGUCUGCUCUCCUGGUGAUCAGCUCUGCUGUUUUGGUUGUGUUAUACCCCAUUUUAUGUUUUUUUUAAUUCUUGUUUUAAUAUGUCAUUAUAAUUACUGUAUUGUACUGAUAACAAGUUCUAGCAAUUUGAAAAGUAAUACAUGGAAUUUGUUGGAAAGCUUCCUCCUUUUAAGAUAAUUUAUGGUUCCUGCUCUGCUCCUGGCCUUUUCAAUGGGACUUUUCACUGUUUAGUCUAAUUUUUAGGAGCAUUCAUAAAAAUACUUAUGACCAGCCUUUUUUAUUCUAUGUAUGCUACUUCCUUUUAUUUAUCUUACAAGUCAAAGGGUUGUUCUUUUUCCCUCUUUUAAUUACAGUUACCGCAUACCACAGCCAUGGUGUAAUGCUCAGUUCAUCUGACUUGGUCAGCAAGAUCUAGAAGAACAGUCAGAAUUUUUUUUUUUUUUUUUGCAUCUGCUAGCCAAGUAUGAGUGUACAUCUGUGUCUGCUUUCUGUCUUUGUUACCGAAGAUCCUGUCAUCAUUGCUGAGAUCAUUUAGAGAUACCAUAAAUGGGCCCAGAUUCAGCAAGCUGGGUUACUAUUUUCCUUCACUGUGAAGUAAGAAUUAGAGUAUGAAGUAAAGCAGGUUGUUUGGGUGUAUAUGAAAAAGUGAGCUAGGACAAUCUUACUUUAUACCCCAUUUGUCUGGGAGUGUGAAGUAACAGAACUUAGGAAAUGUCAUCAGAUAAACAGGGUUCUGGGAGGAUCUCAGAGAAGAAACUGGUAUGGGUGAAAUCCUUCUGUUUUAAAAUUGACAAAAGAACAAAGUUGGACUGAAGUUUCCCUUAAAGAAAAAUGCUAAAAGUUAGAUUACAGAAUUAAUAGAAGGCCAAGUUCACAGAACUGGAAAGGAAAAGGCAGACAACUACAAA
rnacentral:sRNA from 1 species